AUGCUGUUUUGCUUUUCAGAAACCCAAGGCAAGAGUCUCCUGGAGAUGCAGAGUCCCAGGAAGGUUGGGCGGGUGACGGGUGGUGCCGGAGCAAGCGGCGGCGGCAGGAACACCGGUGGCGGAGCCACAGACACGAGGCCACACAACGGCAAGAACGUCGCCAUGGCGCUGCCAGCUCCAGCGACCUCCGUCCUGGUGCUGGUUUUCACCACCACCACCAUUCUUCUCUCGACGCUCAGCUUCUGA
rnacentral:rRNA from 1 species